rnacentral:rRNA from 1 species
GAGUUUGAUCAUGGCUCAGAUUGAACGCUGGCGGCAUGCCUUACACAUGCAAGUCGAACGGCAGCACGGGAGCUUGCUCCUGGUGGCGAGUGGCGAACGGGUGAGUAAUGCAUCGGAACGUAUCCUGGAGUGGGGGAUAACGUAGCGAAAGUUACGCUAAUACCGCAUAUUCUGUGAGCAGGAAAGCGGGGGACCUUCGGGCCUCGCGCUCUUGGAGCGGCCGAUGUCGGAUUAGCUAGUUGGUGAGGUAAAGGCUCACCAAGGCGACGAUCCGUAGCAGGUCUGAGAGGAUGAUCUGCCACACUGGAACUGAGACACGGUCCAGACUCCUACGGGAGGCAGCAGUGGGGAACUUUGGACAAUGGGGGCAACCCUGAUCCAGCCAUGCCGCGUGAGUGAAGAAGGCCU